CGGCCUGGGUGAGCGCCGCCGGCUCCCGGCCUUCCUUUUGGCUUUCCCGAUUUAUUUUUAGGCGGCGGUUUUACCCCAAACUCUUAAUUUACAGCUUGCAGCCCGGUUUUCUUGGCACGCCCAGCAGCUUCUGGGGGCAGCGCUCAAUCUGUGCCCUGUUCCCCCCCAUCGCUCUCCGUCCCCUGGGGGGAGGAAUUGGAGGCUUUAAUCCUGCUCCUGGGGUUAACGGGCACCAAAUUGUUUGGGCUCUGCGGGGCAGGGGAGGGGAUGCAGGCGCUGAGUGAUGGAAACCCAAGCGUUUUUGGGAGCCGCCUGCUGCCAAUUAUUUGGCUUUGCCCCCCCGCCCCCCUCUCCCCGCCCAGCGCGCUGCCGAGGACAUCGGGUCCUGGCACGGAGCUGCCACCCGGAGCGUUUGUGGCAGAGCUGGGGGGGAGCCGGGAGGAAACGCUGCCAGCUUCCAGGCGGCCGGGAAAACAGAAACAUCUGCGGGGGCCGUGGGGGGGGGGGUUGGCAGCGCCCUCCAGCUCCCUGCCUCGGCUCCUCUGCGCUGGCGCCAGCGCCGGGCUCUGGUGGUGACCUCUCUGCCUGCCGCGGGGGGCACGAGGGGGUGGUUGGGUUUGGGACCCCCUCAGGUGGCACGUGAAAGCGCAGGGGAGGUGGUUUUUUCAUCGUUUUCUCUUGUUUUUGUGUUUUCUUUUUUGGGGUGGAGUUUUUUGGGUGGCAGCUGGGGAAGGAGUUUGGGAGGUGCGUGGCUCAGGGUGCUGACAGCUGGGUUUCCUCCACGCUCGCGGUGCCCAAAGUGCUCGGCUCCUGCCGGGCUUUAUCUGCUGGAAACUAAACAGGGCAAAAACGGCCGCAGCCUCCAAGGCCGUGCCUCUGGGCCUGCAGGGAACGCUGAGCCAGCCAGGAGCCCUCAGGUAGCACCCGGCUGCGGUGAAACCAGCCCUGGUGUGUCGCCUCCCCCAGGGAAAAGGGAUCCUCGGCGCUUUCAGAGCCAAGGGGCUCGGGUACACAGAGGCUGGCGACGUUUCCAAGCUUCCUGGCACCUCCUGGCAUCUCCUGGCACCUCCUGGCACGCCGAACGAAGCCUCUCCUCCCUCCCCAGGCGCUGGGAGAGGUGCCACGGGGCUCGGGCAGGGGAAGGGAGGGGGCUGGGAGGAAAAGGCAGCGGCUCCCGCGCCGCAUCCUAAUGCAGCCAGGCCGGGCAGCUCCACACAGGCAGCCUUUGUCAGCGCCCGCCUGUGCCCCGCUGCAUCUGCAGCUGAGCCCGGGGGAGGCUUUGGCAGCGCCGAGGGACUGGGGGCCCUUCCGGAGGU
rnacentral:lncRNA from 1 species